AGAGAAAAAAGAAGAAGAAUUAGGCCCUCGAGCAUCCUUGCUUUCCUUUUCCUCCUUCUUUUCAUCGCAAGUGGGAAGGUAGGUGGAAGGGAGCCAGAAGUUUUCUUCUCAAAUCAUCCCCACCCCCAAACCCAACCCUUUCGGUCUCGAUUCAAUUAAGGACUUUUGUGUAGAGAGGGAAGUAUCCACUCGUAUGCGUCAAAAGUCAAGAAGUAGAGUUCAGCAAAAGCCUAGGCAAAGGCUCGAAGUUCAAGGGCAGCAGUUCUGGUAGCUCUUUUAGUUCUUGUCGUUGAAUCAAGCUAUUUAUGAUUGACGAAUAAUGUAGAUUUAGAAAGACAUUGACCUAAAUCCCCGUAACUGAAAGAACGGGAGGCGGAAAGGGAAGUUGAGGAAGGUGAAAAGAAUAUUGACGUUGACUCGGGCUAGGAAACAUCCGUUAGUCUUAUUGACACAUCCAGAGUAAUCUUUCUCCACUGCAAAGGUGUUACGACGCCGAACCGACUCGACAAGGAAGACUGAAAGCGCUAUCCCACGAACCAUAGGAUGAAGCCCACGUAGCGGCAGUAUCCUUUCGUAAGAAGGAGAAGGCGCAUACUACAAUCAGGACAAAGUCGACAAGAGAAGAGGCAUGCAUCGGCAGCAAGAAAGUCAGAGGACUCAAUCUCAAAAGAGACAUAAGUCAAUGAAUUUAAAUGGUAAUGACUUCAACUUUGUAGGAAAGUUGGGUCGUUAUAAUUUACUAGCUUCAAUUAUAAAUUUUCUAAUUAAUUGUUGCUGCUUGAAUCUCCUCAAUUGAGUUCACUUCCUUUUGAAAGUGAGAAUUCAAUGCUGCCAGGUCGCAAGGGAUGCAGAGGAAUGUCAGAGAUUCGAAUUCAAAAUCCUGGUCCGAAUCUUGGGCCUGGGGUGUUACAGUUGCCUCUUUGGUGUUCGAGAUCAAGCCCUUUGCCAUGUUGGCUCAAGUUGUCUCUUGAAUGUGGUGCUCGAUCUCAACGUACUGUCUCAUGUGUGCGCCGGUUGUCAACAAUAGUCAUAAGGUCAUUUUUGUAUGGAAGUCGAGAACAUGACCGAAAGAAUAACUCAAGUACUCAAAGAUUCAGAGAAUUCAAAGAAGAUUUAGUCAUGACAUGCUAAUGAAAAGCAAGGCUUCCAGCUAGAAAAUACAACAAAUUACAACCAAAGAAAAUAUGUCCUUAUCGAAUAGUAAAGAAUUUUGACGACAAUGCAUACAAGAUUGAGUUAUAUGCCCAGACAUACAUUAAUCCUAUCUUCAACUUACACUCAAGGACGUGUUCUCCAUGGGGGAAGGGAAUUUGAGGUCGACGGAUGGACAGGUGGAGGGGUCCUCGCAUUUCUCGUGUCUAUUACUUUUUGAACAUCUGCAGAACACAACAUGAGGCUCAGAUCCUCAGUCAAGUUAUGACAACAAUGAGAAAACUUCCAUAAAAGCUAGAGGAGAAGAGGUGUCUUGGGCAGCUGAAGACUAAGAAUUUGGGUACUUUCAACGUUGAUCACUUGCUUCCUAUAGUCAGUACCUAGAGGACUUCGAGGAGCCUUCAGAUGGUUCAUCUCAAAUGAAACAGCAGCAUCGCUGAUGCU